GACGAACGCUGGCGGCGUGCUUAACACAUGCAAGUCGAACGGAAAGGCCCUGCUUUUGUGGGGUGCUCGAGUGGCGAACGGGUGAGUAACACGUGAGUAACCUGCCCUUGACUUUGGGAUAACUUCAGGAAACUGGGGCUAAUACCGGAUAGGAGCUCCUGCUGCAUGGUGGGGGUUGGAAAGUUUCGGCGGUUGGGGAUGGACUCGCGGCUUAUCAGCUUGUUGGUGGGGUAGUGGCUACCAAGGCUUUGACGGGUAGCCGGCCUGGGAGGGUGACCGGCCACAUUGGGACUGAGAUACGGCCCAGACUCCUACGGGAGGCAGCAGUGGGGAAUAUUGCACAAUGGGCGGAAGCCUGAUGCAGCAACGCCGCGUGCGGGAUGACGGCCUUCGGGUUGUAAACCGCUUUCGCCUGUGACGAAGCGUGAGUGACGGUAAUGGGUAAAGAAGCACCGGCUAACUACGUG
rnacentral:rRNA from 1 species